rnacentral:ncRNA from 2 species
GUGAAAGUGUUGCCAGGUGGUUAGGUGGAUUGUGUAUUUGCAUGCCAGGAAACAUAAACAUUUGGCAGCCAGGCCGGUAUUAAGUAAGCAGGGCAACAGCCCGGAUCAUGAAUAGUGGAGGCAGUUGUGGGAGUGCCAACGGUACAUACAGCUGACUUUCAU